rnacentral:rRNA from 1 species
UACGGGGGGGGUAAGCGUUGUUCGGAAUUACUGGGCGUAAAGCGUGCGCAGGCGGUUUUGUAAGACAGAGGGGAAAUCCCCGGGCUCAACCUGGGAACUGCCUUUGUGACUGCAAGGCUUGAGUGCGGCAGAGGGGGAUGGAAUUCCGCGUGUAGCAGUGAAAUGCGUAGAUAUGCGGAGGAACACCGAUGGCGAAGGCAAUCCCCUGGGCCUGCACUGACGCUCAUGCACGAAAGCGUGGGGAGCAAACAGG